GAUUCAGUAGCAAAGUGGGUAAUGCGAUGGCGUUUGGAGCGAACGCUACCGGGUUCGAAUCCCGGAGUAAAC
rnacentral:tRNA from 1 species